GGUGAGAUGGCUCAGUGGGUAAGGGCACCCGACUGCUCUUCCGAAGGUCCAGAGUUCGAAUCCCAGCAACCA
rnacentral:tRNA from 1 species